rnacentral:misc_RNA from 1 species
GCAGCGGCUGCGCGAAGUCGCCGAGCGCGAAGGCUGCAAGGUUUCAGUGCUGGUGCAGCGCGCGUCCGAACUCGACUGGUCGAAGUUCGAGGGCAUCAAGACCCUCGGCAUCACCGCAGGCGCCUCGGCGCCGGAAGUGAUCGUCGAGGAAAUCAUGGACGCGUUCGCGGCCCACUAUCAUCUGAAGGUGGAAACCGUGUCGGCGGCGAUGGAGAACGAAUUUUUCCCGCUGCCGCGCCCGCUGCGGAACGA